GCACAAGCGGUGGAGCAUGUGGUUCAAUUCGACGCAACGCGAAGAACCUUACCAGCCCUUGACAUGUGACUCGCCGGCUCCAGAGACGGAGCCUUCGGUUCGGCCGGAGUCAACACAGGUGCUGCAUGGCUGUCGUCAGCUCGUGUCGUGAGAUGUUGGGUUAAGUCCCGCAACGAGCGCAACCCUCGUCUCCAGUUGCCAUCAGGUUAUGCUGGGCACUUUGGAGAAACUGCCGGUGACAAGCCGGAGGAAGGUGGGGAUGACGUCAAGUCCUCAUGGCCCUUACGGGCUGGGCUACACACGUGCUACAAUGGCGGUGACAAUGGGAUGCGAUGGCGCGAGCCGGAGCCGAUCCUAAAAAACCGUCUCAGUUCGGAUUGCACUCUGCAACUCGAGUGCAUGAAGUUGGAAUCGCUAGUAAUCGAGGAUCAGCAUGCCUCGGUGAAUACGUUCCCGGGC
rnacentral:rRNA from 1 species